rnacentral:rRNA from 1 species
UACGGAGGGUGCGAGCGUUGUCCGGAAUCACUGGGCGUAAAGGGCGCGUAGGCGGUCUGUUAAGCGUGUGGUGAAAGCUCGGGGCUCAACCCCGAGUCUGCCAUGCGAACUGGUGGACUUGAGCACUGUAGAGGCAGGUGGAAUUCCGGGUGUAGCGGUGGAAUGCGUAGAGAUCCGGAAGAACACCAGUGGCGAAGGCGACACGCUGGGCCGUACCUGACACUGAUGCGCGACAGCAUGGGGAGCAAACAGG